CAUCUACUUCCAGCCUUCUUUUGUUGUUGCAGCGAUCGUACCAUGCAAUGUGAGAUUGGCAUUCAAUGAGCUCAUCGGAGACACCGUGACCUUCGACGCUCUUGGGGGCCCAUACACUAUGCAGGUCGAGAAGGGGCGAAAGAUAACCCAGAUAGGAGGAGAUGAUUGGGAUCGUUUCAUCGCCCGCAUGCGUCUUAGUGGGGGUGAAUUGAUCUGCUUCUCCUUCAGAAGAGAUAGGCCCGGAUUUCUGUUAUCUAUCUAAAUUUGAUUCCGGAUAGUGAGGAUGAAGUUCAUGAGGAGGAAGAUGAUGCUGAUUCAGAUGAUGACGAUUCAGAUGAUGAUGAGAACCCACUUGCUGAAUACCUGUAUGCCCAAGGACUCAGACUGGGCGACGAGGAAAUCGGCAACCUCUGGGACAUGCUUCCGCUACGUGAAGACUACCUAGGGAAGCCAUUCGUGACCCGCCUCACAAGGACGAAUGUUAAACGGCAUAUCAUGAAAUUACCUAAGAGGUUACUUGAUAGCUGUGGCAUCGACCCGGACGAAGAAGGCAUGGCUGCUGGACUACGCCUUACCAGAACGGGCUCCAUCACCAGCUGUGCCUAUGCAGUGGACACGGACGGUCGCACUGUCUUGAGCAAGGCAGGGUGGAAAAA